rnacentral:rRNA from 1 species
UGUCAGCAGCCGCGGUAAUACGGAGGAUGCAAGCGUUAUCCGGAUUCAUUGGGUUUAAAGGGUGCGUAGGCGGCUUUUUAAGUCAGUGGUGAAAUCUUGCCGCUUAACGGUAAAAUUGCCAUUGAUACUGAUAAGCUUGAGUACAAUUGAGGUAAGCGGAAUGUGUAGUGUAGCGGUGAAAUGCUUAGAUAUUACACAGAACACCGAUUGCGAAGGCAGCUUACUAAACUGUUACUGACGCUGAUGCACGAAAGCGUGGGGAGCGAACAGGAUUAGAUACCCUGGUAGUCCACGCCGUAAACGAUGAUCACUCGCUGUAUGCGAUACACAGUAUGCGGCCAAGCGAAAGCAUUAAGUGAUCCACCUGGGGAGUACGAUCGCAAGGUUGAAACUCAAAGAAAUUGACGG